rnacentral:lncRNA from 1 species
AUUUUCAGACAAGCACAGUUACAACAACUGUAGACUGAGGUUUGGGGCAGGAACUUCUGUUCAUGGGUCUGAACACGAUGACCGACAAAACCCCCCCUCAAACUGACCUUUGAUGCAGAGAAGAUGGUCAAAGACACCCUGAUUCCUCCAUCUGUCUCCAUCUUCAAGAGGAGGCCACUUAACUCUGCAAGGAACUGUGGAACAUGUGAGUGACUUAAACUGAAUUAUCAAACACUGUCCUGAACAUUAUUAAUAUUUAACUACUGAUAUUUUAAUUUAAUGAUGUCUCCUAUUUUGUUUCUAUAUUUUGCCACGGGAUUUACCACAAGCUCCAGUCUGGAUCCAGAACACCUGAGAAGAGAUGAUGCUAACACUGAAUCAACAAACAGAACUAACAAUUAUUGCUAAAUGUGUGACUGAAUCAUAUAAUAACUUAAUUAUUAAUAUUGAUAGUUCAUCAUCUAUCUGACUACAUCUUGUAUUAUUAUUAUUUUUAUUAUUAUUAUUUUUUCUACAAACCUUGUCAAACGUGCACAAACUACUAGCUACUACUAAAUACUGUAGAAACAUAAUUUUCUGUUAACUUUGUAACAAUUUGUAUUGUAAAAAGCGCUAUACAAAAACUUGAAUUGAAUUCACCAUAACUUUAUAGAUGCAGGUUCCAAGGAUGACGACUGUGAGGGACACAUCUUGGACGUGGGGGAUCAGAAGAGGCUCCAGAAUCCUUGAGGUGUCCUUAUGGCGGGACCAGGCCUCGUCAAUGAUAAAGUUCACAUAUGUCACCUCCGAGCAAACGCCAAGGCUACUAAGUUAAACUCACCCAUCCACACAACUGUAGAGGUUCUGGAGCAAGGACCAGUGGUGGAGAACAUGGUGGUGAUUUGCUUUGUUGAAGCUAAUGUUGAGCUCUUGUUGCUCGCUGAGGACUUCAGUGAAUACACAGCACUUCCUGAACUGACUGAUAAGAGUCUAGAAGAUCUUCUGUGCAGCUUCCACUUCAUUCAGAAGUAAUUUCAUGACCACAGAAAAAUUAGUUAUGUUGAUUAAAUGUAAGUUUCAGUUGUGUGAAAUA